rnacentral:lncRNA from 10 species
GAGGGAAGGGGGAGAAAGUUACUUCGCAGACAGCGAUGUCUCACCUUCCAUGCUUGUUGCCAUGGAGAUGAAGUCCAGCCAGUAGACUUAAGUGUUGGCACGUUUGUCUGUGUUCGCUGAUCGGUUCAGUAACAAAUGUAGAAGGCGUGUUCUGGAACCUGCGUAGAGUCACAGGGCCCUGGUUAGCGCUUUCCUGGCCUAGAAGUGUAAAUGUCUGUGUCUGUUGGUGAGACAGAGGACGUGGGCGCCCGCCGAGGAGAAGGCGCCUAGGCGCUGUCCGUAGUGCUGAAAUGGUGCGUGGUGAGACCUGUCUCCCCAACACAAGCUAGAAGACAACAAAAUAGCAGCCAGGAAACGCUCUGAUAAAGCUCUAGAUAGCUGCCAGGCCGAGCUCAAGGGAGCAGAACUAAGUUACAUGAUUCUGCUGCGGAUGUAUAAGCACCACUCCAAUAAUUUAUUAUCACGGUUGGAGACUUUGACUUGUCACUUUAUGACUUGAAAUAUGGCUCCAUGGUAAAUGCCCAUAAAGCUGAUUUUUAAAAUCUGGAUAUUACAGUUCUAAUUCUCACUUAGUUUAAAAGGUAGAAUAGGCUUCUUGUUUCAUAGAUCAUUUGUGUGAAUGUUGAUUUGUUAUGUCAUUGACAUCAUACACACAUGCUUACAUUUUGAAGGUUGCUAGCGUUUCCCAUUAAUGCUUCUGAAUUGAUGCCAAAGGAAAGCAUUGAUUAUAAAUUAGGUUCCUUGGUAUUAGUUGGUGCAUGACCCUGACCCUUUUCAAGCUAUAUGAAAGGUAAUGAUGCUCUCA